AAUCUCGAUUCUCCACUUCAUUCCCUCUCUUCUAAAAAAUAAUAAAAAAAAAAUUCACAUAUUGUCGUUUUACUGCUCUUAGCUCUGCGUAGCAAAGUCUCUCUCUAACAAAUCUGAAAACAGAAUCUCUCCGUCACAGCUGAAGAGCAACAGCAGCAGCAAGAAUCAUGACUCGCGGAAAUCAAAGAGAAAAAGAUCGCGAGAGAGCUCAAGCUCGUAGCGGUAACAAAGUAAACAAAGGCAAGGAUGACGGUUUGACUCCUGAACAGCGUCGUGAAAGAGACGCGAAGGCACUGCAAGAAAAGGCGGCGAAGAAGGCAGCACAGGCGGCGGGAGGGGAAUCUUCGGGAGGAGGUAAAGGGAGUAAUAAGAAAUAGAGAGAAUUUUGUUGUGUUUUAAUCAUGUGGAUUUGUGUUGAUUACGGUUUGAUGUGGAUUUGAUAUUUUGUAUGGAUUUUCAUGCUUGCUUGGUUUGGAAAUACACGUUCAAUCUGUUUAUUUGAGGUUUGUUUAGUUUGAUUUGGAGUUUUGAAGAUCAGUUUUGAAAAUUUUAAUUGCUUGAUUGGAUCGGU